rnacentral:rRNA from 1 species
AGGAAAAGAAACCAACAGGGAUUGCCUCAGUAACGGCGAGUGAAGCGGCAACAGCUCAAAUUUGAAAUCGGGCGCCCGCCCGAGUUGUAAUUUGCAGAGGAUGCUUCUGGGCAGCGAGCCGGUCUAAGUCUCUUGGAACAGGGCGCCAUAGAGGGUGAGAAUCCCGUAUGCGACCGGCCGCGCACCCUCCACGAAGCUCCUUCGACGAGUCGAGUUGUUUGGGAAUGCAGCUCAAAAUGGGAGGUAAAUGUCUUCUAAAGCUAAAUACCGGCCAGAGACCGAUAGCGCACAAGUAGAGUGAUCGAAAGAUGAAAAGCACUUUGGAAAGAGAGUCAAACAGCACGUGAAAUUGUUGAAAGGGAAGCGCAUGCGCCCAGACGCGUCGGCGGCGUUCCGCCGGUCUUCUUGACCAGGCUCACUUCGCCGCCGACGGGCCAGCAUCGCUUGGGCGCGCCGGAAAAAGGCGCGGGGAAUGUGGCCCCCUUCGGGGGGUGUUAUAGCCUCGCGCGCCAUGCGGCGACGCCCGAGCGAGGACCGCGCUUCGGCGAGGAUGCUGGCGUAAUGGGCGCCUGCGGCCCGUCUUGAAACACGGACCAAGGAGUCUAACAUCUACGCGAGUGUUUGGGUGUCAAACCCCGACGCGCAAUGAAAGUGAACGGAGGUGGGAACCUUUGCGGGUGCACCAUCGACCGAUCCUGAUGUCUUCGGAUGGAUUUGAGUAAGAGCGUAGCUGUUGGGACCCGAAAGAUGGUGAACUAUGCCUGAAUAGGGUGAAGCCAGAGGAAACUCUGGUGGAGGCUCGCAGCGGUUCUGACGUGCAAAUCGAUCGUCAAAUUUGGGUAUAGGGGCGAAAGACUAAUCGAACCA